GAAAAAGUGCAAAAGACAUCACCCAUUUAACAGCGGUCGGUGAUGCCACCGAUGUUAAAAAGGUUUUUAACAUCGUCAAGUUUUUAACCGAUGUUAAAACCAUUUCUAGCAUCGGUUUAUAAAAGAACCGCUGUCUAAUCUCCAUUUUUAAAAAAAUUUAAAAAAAGCGCCCAGUACUUGUAAUUAUUUUGUCUAUCUUAUUACACACCCCGCUUCUUUUAUUACACAAAAUACACCUCCCCGCCCUUAACCAAAUAUUUGCUCCCCGUUUUCCCCCCUUUCUCCUCUCGACUCUGCACUGCUCUCUCUCUCGACUCUCUCUCUCUCGCAUCUCCUCCAGCUCUCUCCCUCUCAUAUCCAUCUCUGAGCAUCUCUCUCUCACCUCCAUCUCUCACCAGGCUUGAACUCAUCUCUCAGCAGCUGUGACCAAAACCCUAGUUUUGAAUUAGCUACAAUGGAGCUUGCUUUGGGUUCCUAACUUCUUGAUCUGGAAGUAGCUUUCGAAUUAGCUUUCGGGUUGUUUUAAGAUUGAAGGAAAAGAAUGGCACCAAAAAAGCAGAAAGUUAAGAAAUCCAAGAAAUCCAAGCCGACAGCUGUGCAGGAUAAUGCUGAUCAGCUGGUUGAUGCAGGACAAGAAACACAACCUGAAAUUACACAAUCAGAAACUACUACUACAGAAACUAAAAAAAAACGAUAUGGAGGUGCUCGAGGUCCUUCGUCUAUGUAUAAAGUGGUGGUAAAAAAGGCUCAGGGCAAGAAGUUCAAAGUUAGAUGCAAUUAUAUUGGAGUUCCAGUGGGAAGAGUUAGGCACACUUUGCAGUCUUACAUAGGAAUGUUGGCGAGGACUAUGAUUCCGAUCGAUAUUAAAAGCUGGCCAUUUG